AAGAGGGCUAUAAUGUUUGAUAAAAUAGUAGGAGACAUAAUUAGACAAAAGAUCUUAUUUAAUUGUGUGUAUCAUCAUGAGUUGAUUACUUAUGUAAUGUUCUUUAUUUAAUGUAGAUUAAAAUUCUAUAACUUUUCUUCAUUAUCAUUGUGAAGAAUUUUAGAUUCCAACAAAUUGAUCGAUCCCAAUUACAUGGACUGGUUGAGAAAUUUGAAAAUUAUUCUCAUUCAAAAGAAGCUUUCAUAUAUUCUUGAUGUCCCUAAAUCACAAGAGAUUAGGGAUGAUGCCACU
rnacentral:lncRNA from 1 species